UCCUUCGGGUGUGUCUGGGGUAAGCCCCUCUAGAAUCUGGGGGCGGCCUCCCGGGGGCCAUACUGCAUCACGUAGUGGAGUUGGGAAGAUAAAACCAGCACGUGUAAUGUAAUACAUGACAAUGGAAGAUUCUACGUAAUUAAGGGUUAACUCUGAAAUCAGAAGACAAGUUUUCCAAGACUUGGGAAGGUGGAGAGAUCAGAGAUCAGUGAGAGAACAAAGAAUCGGGGUCCAGAUGUCAGGGAUGGAAGUUGGAGAAAGAUGAGGCAGCAGCAGACACUUUCUCCUGUUGGCCUUAAAGAAGCAACCGCCUGUGCUGGGAGAGGGUCACUGGGCUGAGAUUGGUAGGUGGCUCUGGGAGCUGAGGGCCUAAACCUAUGACCACAAGGAACUGAAUUCAUCCCAAAGCCAGAGAGGUGGAAGACGACUCAGAAGAUGCAGAUGCCAAUGCCACAUCCUGGUGAGCAGCUGGAUUGCAGCUGGACCCGCUAAACCAAGCCCCAGACUCCUGACCAGUGGGAGCUGCAAGAUAAUGAAUAUAGUUUUCUUGUUGUUUUUUGUUUUCUUUUUAAUAAGCAAUAUGACUUUAUUUAGUUACUUUGGAAACAAAAACCCCCAAAUAAUGCCUGAACCCAAAGGUACAUAAAAAUGGCCCAAAAUAGUUUAAAAUAGAUUUGAACAUCAUUUGUAGUUUCUUCCUCAUAACAUGAGCGCUUUCAGCUGGACAGUAGAUUACAAAGCAUCUCCGAUCAUGUUAAGGCAGAUCAUCAAUCUGUGGCUGCAUCUGUAACUCCUGCUGGGAAAAUAAUCCUGUUGGAGUUGGGGGCUCUUCCCAGUUGUUUGGCCAGUUGGCCCAGGAAGGGGCAGUCCUGGAGCUGACGGGUGGGUGAGGAGCCAGGCCCCACCUGUUUUUUGUUUUCUUACGACAGAGUCUUCCUCUGUUGCUCAGGCUGGAGUGCAGUGGCGCUAUCUCGGCUCACUGUAACCUCCACCUCCUGGGUUCAAGCGAUUCUCCUGCCUCAGCUUCCAGGAGAGCUGAGACUACAGGUGUGUGUCAUUACACUGGGCUAAUUUUUUAUUACUUUUUUUAAGCAGUGAUGGUGUUUUGCCAUGUUGGGUUUUGAGCUCCUGACCUUAGGUGACCCAUCUACCUCGGCCUCCCAAAGUAUUGGGAGUUUCCAAGGCUCCCUUAGUGUAAGCCAGGAUUUUUUAAAUACAAGGCGGCAAAGAUACCACAAUGUUACCACAACACAACAAUGUAUAUCACAACCAUGUAUACCACUAUGUAUACCACAAUGUUAUUCACUGUAGCUGCUCCCACAGAAAAGUAGUUUACAAGACAGUGAAGUACAAUAUGAAACUGAAGAUGUUUAGAGAGGAAACAGUGAUUUAAAGAGUGCUCUGUAGAAUUAAAACCAGUUAGCCCGGCACAUUGGGGAACACCUCUGGUCCCAGUUACUUAGGAGGCUAAGAUGGGAGGAUCACUUAAACCUCGGAGUUUGAGGCCACCCCGGGAACACAAUGAAACCUUGUCUCAAGAAACAAAACCAAAUACCCCAAGUAGGCCGGGUGUGGUGGCUCAAGCCUGUAAUCCUAGCACUUUACGAGGCUGAGGCAGACAGAUCACUUGAGGUCAGGAGUUUGUGAACAGCCUUGCCAACAUGGGUAAACCCUGUCUCUAAAAAAAAAAAAAAAAAAAAAAGCCAGGUAUGGUGACACACACUUGUAAUCCCAGCUACCCCGGAUGCUGAGGCAUGAGAAUCCCUUAAACCCAGGAGGUGGAGGUUGCAGUGAGCUGAGAUCAUGCCACUGCAUUCCAGCCUGGGAGACAGAACCAGAUUUGGUCUCAAAAAAAAAAAAAUUGGUUAAUGGCAUUAAAAGUCAACUAAUAAAAUUAGUUAAAACUAUGGACUUUAAUAAAUGUUAUCUGUUUUAGCAAUUUUUUUUUUUGAGACGGAAUUUCACUCUUGUUGCCCAGGCUGGAGUGCAAUGGCGCGAUAUCAGCUCACUGCAACCUCUGCCUCCAGAGUUCAAGUGAUUCUCCUGCCUCUUCCUCUGGCUCCGGAGCAGCUAGGAUUACAGGCGCCCACCACUACGCCUGGCUAAUUUUUUUGUAUUCUUUGUAGAGAUGGGGUUUCACCAUGUUGGCCAGGCUGGCCUCAAACUCCUGACCUCCAGUGAUCUGCCCGCCUUGGCCUCCCAAAGUGCUAGGAUUACAGGUGUGCACCACCGCGCCCGGACUGUUUUAGCAAAUUUGACAAAAUGUGGGUAAUUUAUCCAUAUAAUAGAAAAUGCCUAAUAUUCAUUAAUUGAAAAUUAGAAAUUACAUUAAAAUAUUCGGUACUGUUUUUUAAACUAUUCUACUUUUACAUAUUUGGGAAGAUUAUUUUCUUUAACGAUUCUGUUUUAUAUAUUUUAUUAAUUGUGUUAUCUGUUUCCUGAAAUUAAUAUAUGCUAGAAGGAAAAUUACCUUUAUAAAUGUCAGCAUCUUAAAAGUCAUGUCAAUAUGCAGAUUUUGAUAACAAUCGGUAUAGAUAAACUAAUUCUAAAGUUAGGAAUGGGGCCAGGCGCGGUGGCUCAGACCUGUAAUCCCAGCACUUUGGGAGGCCGAGGUGGGCGGAUCACUUGAGGUUAGGAGUUCGAGACCAGCCUGGCCAACAUGGCAAAACCCUGUCUCUAUUAAAAAUGCAAAAAUUAGCUGGGUGCGGUGGCGGGUGCCUGUAAUCCCGGCCACUCAGGAAGCUGAGGCAGGAGCAUGGCUUGAACCCGGGAAGCAGAGGUUGCAGUGAGCCAAGAUGAGCCACUGCACUCUAGUCUGGGUGACAAAGUAAGACUCUGUCUCAAAAAUAAAUAAAUAAAUAAAGUCAGGAAUAGGUCAUGCCAUGCUUUAUUAUAUCCGUGAUGCUUUAUUAUAUCUGUGACUUUGAAAAUUAACAUUAUUUUACUAACCAUACUCAACAAUGCUUUUUAAAAAGGGAUUUAUGACAUAUAAUUCUUUUGGAAAUUAAAAUGCAUGGUAUAAUUCUAUGGUUGGUCAGAUUACACUUCAGGUGUAAAUGAAUUACCUUAAAAAUGUAUUUCUUAGGUUUAUGUUUUAUGGACUUAAUAAAUAUUUUAUUACAAUUUUUUUUUUUUUUAGACAGAAUCUCACUCCGUCACCCAGGCUGGAGUGCAGUGGCACGAUCUCGGCUCACUGCAACCUCCACCUCCUGGGUUCAAGUGAUUCUCCUGCCUCAGCCUCCCGAGUAGCCGGGAAUACAGACGCAUGCCACCGCUCCUGGCUAAUUUCUGUAUUUUUAGUAGAGCCGUGGUUUCACCAUAUUGGCCAGGCUGAUCUCGAACUCCUGACAUUGUGAUCUGCCCUCCUUGGCCUCCCAAAGUGCUGGGAUUACAGGCGUAAGCCACCGCACCCAGCAGAAAAAAAUCUUAAACUUACAAAAACAUAGAGAGAAAUAUAGCAAAUGCUUGUAUUAGUUUUCUAUGGCUGCUGUAACAAAUUACUACCACUUUGGUGACCUAAAACAACCCAAAUUUACUACCGUACAAGUCCUGUAGGUCAGGAGCCCACACGGGGCUCACUGGGCUAAAACUCAGGUGAUGGCAGGACACCUGAGCAUCUGCAGGAUCAUUCAUUCCUUGCCUUUUCCACCUUGAGAGGCCACCUGUGGCAUUCCUGGGCUUGUGGCCCCUUCCUCCAUCUCCGGAGUCAGCACCAGCGGCCACAUCCUUGUCAGGUUGAAUCUCUCUGAACUUCCUUCCAGUGUUACGUCUCUUUCCAAUUCUCAUUUGCAGGUAAAGGUUCUCGGAAGGACCCAAUGAGACUGGGCUCACUGGGAUAAUCCAGGAUCAUCUCCCAUCUCAAGGUUCUUCAUCGCAUACUUGCAAAGCCCCUUUUGCCAUGUCAGGUAACUUGUUCACAGGUUUGAAGAUUAGAAUGUGGGCAUGUUUGGGGGGCAUAAUUAGGCCUAGCACAAUGCCCAUGUACCCAUCUCCUUGCUUAAACAUUAAACACUUUGCCAA
rnacentral:lncRNA from 10 species